UACGUAGGGGGCAAGCGUUGUCCGGAAUCAUUGGGCGUAAAGAGCGUGUAGGCGGCCCGAUAAGUCCGCUGUGAAAGUCCAGGGCUCAACCCUGGAAUGCCGGUGGAUACUGUCGGGCUCGAAUCCGGAAGAGGUGAGUGGAAUUCCUGGUGUAGCGGUGGAAAUGCGCAGAUAUCAGGAGGAACACCGAUGGCGAAGGCAGGUCUCUGGGCAUUAACUGACGCUGAGGAGCGAAAGCAUGGGGAGCGAACAGG
rnacentral:rRNA from 1 species